CUCUAGCUAUUUGAACAUUUUGGUUGGGAACACUGAUUGACCAAUAAAUCACCUUCCAUAUAACUGGGCUAUAAUAUUAAGUCACACCUUAAAUAGGAUGUUAAAUUUAAGAUAAAAAUGGUAAAGAAGAACAAAGGAAAGAAUAGAAAAGGAUUUAUAACUGGUAUCAUAAUCACACUGCAAAGGAAACUGAUGGCUGAAGUGGAUUGGCUGAACUAUUAUCAUGACUCCUGCUGAAUCAGUCCCUCAAAGCUGUACAACUACUGGGGAGACAAUUAUAAUACUUCACUGAAUACAAGGAAUAUAUGGAAGGGAUAGACUUGAGAUUUAGGAUAAAAUAAAACGUGAAGUUCCUGGGCUCCUAAGAAGAACAAGUCUGAAAACCUGUCUAAAGCAAACUGGUUAUACUGUGUAAGUGUGUAGCUCUUUAAAAUCGUCCAAUUACCAAGCCAUACAAAAGUGAAAUUAUAUGUGUUUAAUAAUUCCCAUUUACUUGGGAUGGAUAAACUAUGAAUGAAUAUAACAGGUCAGAACAUUUGUUUCAUCAUCAAAAACUACUUGCUAUGUUAUCAACCAUGGUGUUGCUAUUACCCAACACAGUGGUCACAUCAGAACGCCUGACUACGAGACUCCUGCAGUUCAGAAGAUUCUACUGGCCAAUCAAGGCAUGAUCCUUAUCUGCCAACUCCUCUGUGUACAGGAAGAAGAUGCAGAAAUUCCCUAUCUCUUGAAUUCCUGAGGAGAGUGACACAAUAGAAUUGCUUCAUGCUUGGACCUUAAAAAAUAUAUAUAUAUCUAGGUGGGCUGGGAUGGGACAAGACAGGAUAGGACAGGAGGUCUAGUUUAACUGUCAUGGUGCUAAAAGGUACAUCCAGUCCACACAGCUAUGGAGAUCCUAAAUACCUCUGCACUAAAAAGGGAAUCUAGAUUUGUUCUAAGAAGAAGAGACCUAUCUGGAGAAUGGAGUGGGUGGUUAGAGCAAAGUUGACAGGUAAAACCAAUGCCUCACUGCCAGGAUAACAUUUCCAGGACAAACAGGCUGCUGGUAAUGUAAAAAGAAUACUGUAUCCUAUUACUAGUUUUUUGUUUUCUUUUUGUUUUCUUUUUUUUUUUUUUUAAACAUACAGGUCCAACCAGCUAACUACAUCACCUAUUAUUUGAACAGGAUAAAACUAGAUGUUACUUAAUUUCAGGACUUCAAGAAACAAAUUGUAAAGAUAGGAAGUUCUUCAACUGAAGAGAGAAAUGACAUCUACAUAGCUGCUUGUUUCCACAGGGGCAGAGCGAAACACCUUUCCUCCUUAGUAGACAGUCUGUAGGAAUUUUGUGGUGGCCAAAAACCUUCAUUCCCUGAAAGCCCACAUUCUGGUGGCUAAAAUUUUCCAAACUUAGCUAGGUGGGCCCUUCUCCGGUUGGGUAUCUAAUCCAAUGCUGGGCCUGCACUUGAAGCCCUUCCAUUUUGGUAGGUCCUGCCAAAACUUGUGCUCUGAUGACAUAACCUUCAACAAUCUAGGGUUUUCUUCAUAAAAGGGCGAGGCAAAGGACACUGGAGCAUCUUAUACUUAAAUCUCCUAAUUUAAUGCCCAACUGCUAUCUCCCUAAAUAAUAAGAAACAGUCAAGUAAAUGAGAGGCACUGCAUGCUGUAAAAGUGAACAAAAAGAAAAAGAACACUAAAUUAGUUACUCCAACUAUCCAUCAGCAACCACUGAUAGAUCUCAAAAACGUUCCUACCAAAAAGAAUAACCUCUGUCUUCGCUGAACUUAAUACUAGCACGGCAAGAAGACCACCAGGGGAAAAUAAGUAGUUUUUUCCCCUUAAAUGCUAAAGAAAAGACAGAGCUCUUGACCAGUACAUCUCUUACCACAAAACCUUCGGUAAUGUUAGUGGAUAAAACUUGUUUCCCACUUACAAUAAUGUGAAAAUAGAACACUAUGGAAUUUUGUUUUGUUUUGUUUUUAAACUAGCCCUUCUAGGAGCGGAAUUGUCUUCAAUGAGAGAAAAGGGUGACUAAAGAGCCGGGAAGAUGGCACUAAGAAGUGUUUCUGAUGUUCCAUUUUAGCCACCCUUGUGUGUCUCUUCCAAAUAAAGAGCCGGAACAGAACAGGCACAUUCACAAUAGCAAAAGAUGCCAGCAUGCCACCUUCACCCUGCCAAAUCACCCCAAAAGUUCCAAAGUUGAAGGACUUUAGAAAAAACAAAAUAGUCCUUCUGUAACACUCUUCCAUUUAAUUCUAAUUGUUUUAUUAUUAUUCUCACUUAUUGACAAUAGUUAAAUUGUUUAGAAAUAAAGCUCACCUCCCAACCUAAACCCUAUUUACUUGCUCCAAGGGAAACAACUUAGCUUUUACAAACAGCUAUGCAAAUCUAUAAAUCAGGUUCAAGGAUCUUCAUGUUUUGGGCACUUAGCAAAUGCAAUUAAAUAGAUAAAAUAUUAUUUGGGGCAGUAGAAAUAAAGAAAAUCAAGAAACUUACUAGACUGUGAUAUAAUAAAUUGAACCAGGUUCCUUGAUCCAUUUCUUAAAAAAUGAAUUAUUUGGUACAUUAUGUAACUAAUUUUUUUUAUCUUGUGGGCCUUAAAAAUCAGAUUAACCUAUUCAGGAAGAAAAUGGGUAUACAUUUGCCUAAAUAAUCAAAAUAAAUCUAAAGCCACAA